rnacentral:rRNA from 1 species
UUGUUCGCAAUGGGCGCAAGCCUGACGACGCAACGCCGCGUGGAGGAUGAAGAUCUUCGGGUCGUAAACUCCUGUCGAGCGGGAAGAAUAGUUUCAGGGUGAACAUCCUUGGAGCUUGACGGUACCGCUAAAGGAAGCCCCGGUUGACUCCGUGCCAGCAGCCGCGGUAAUACGGGGGGGGCAAGCGUUGUUCGGAAUUACUGGGCGUAAAGGGCUCGUAGGCGGCCAACUAAGUCAGACGUGAAAUCCCCAGGCUCAACCUGGGAACUGCGUCUGAUACUGGAUGGCUUGAAUUCGGGAGAGGGAUGCAGAAUUCCAGGUGUAGCGGUGAAAUGCGUAGAUAUCUGGAGGAAUACCGGUGGCGAAGGCGGCAUCCUGGACCGACAUUGACGCUGAUGAGCGAAAGCUAGGGGAGCAAAC